rnacentral:rRNA from 1 species
GACGAACGCUGGCGGCGUGCCUAAUACAUGCAAGUCGAGCGGACGGAAGGAAGCUUGCUUCCUAAAGUCAGCGGCGGACGGGUGAGUAACACGUGGGCAACCUGCCCCUAAGAUCGGGAUAACUUCGGGAAACCGGAGCUAAUACCGGAUAUGAUUAUGUCUCACAUGAGACAUAAUGGAAAGACGGUUUCGGCUGUCACUUAGGGAUGGGCCCGCGGCGCAUUAGCUAGUUGGUGAGGUAACGGCUCACCAAGGCGACGAUGCGUAGCCGACCUGAGAGGGUGAUCGGGCACACUGGGACUGAGACACGGCCCAGACUCCUACGGGAGGCAGCAGUAGGGAAUCUUCCGCAAUGGACGAAAGUCUGACGGAGCAACGCCGCGUGAGUGAAGAAGGUUUUCGGAUCGUAAAACUCUGUUGUUAGGGAAGAACAAGUACCAUAGUAACUGAUGGUACCUUGACGGUACCUAACCAGAAAGCCACGGCUAACUACGUGCCAGCCGCCGCCGUAACAC